UACGUAGGGUGCGAGCGCUGCCCGGAUUUAUUGGGCGUAAAGGGCGCGUAGGCGGCCACGCACGUCCGUUGUGAAAUCGCCCGGCUCAACUGGGCGGGGUCGGCGGAUACGGCGUGGCUGGAGCAAGCUAGGGGGCAAUGGAAUUCCCGGUGUAGUGGUGGAAUGCGUAGAUAUCGGGAGGAACACCAGUGGCGAAGGCGGUUGCCUGGAGCUUUGCUGACGCUGAGGCGCGAAAGCGUGGGGAGCGAUCCGG
rnacentral:rRNA from 1 species